ncrna:unclassified sequences Actino-pnp RNA
AUUGGUCCUCGGUAGUGGUUUCCGGGGUUUUACAAGACCCGUGAACUUCGAUCGAAGAUCCAU